GACGAACGCUGGCGGCGUGCUUAACACAUGCAAGUCGAACGAUGAAGCCGGAGCUUGCUCUGGUGAAUUAGUGGCGAACGGGUGGGUAACACGUGAGUAACCUGCCCUUGACUCUGGGAUAACUGCGGGAAACUGUAGCUAAUACCGGAUACGACCCUCGGAGGCAUCUCCUGGGGGUGGAAAGAAUUUCGGUCAAGGAUGGACUCGCGGCCUAUCAGCUAGUUGGUGAGGUAAAGGCUCACCAAGGCGACGACGGGUAGCCGGCCUGAGAGGGUGACCGGCCACCCUGGGACUGAGACACGGCCCAGACUCCUACGGGAGGCAGCAGUGGGGAAUAUUGCACAAUGGGCGCAAGCCUGAUGCAGCAACGCCGCGUGAGGGAUGACGGCCUUCGGGUUGUAAACCUCUUUUAGCAGGGAAGAAGCGAAAGUGACGGUACCUGCAGAAAAAGCACCGGCUAACUACGUGCCAGCCGCCGCCGGUAA
rnacentral:rRNA from 1 species